rnacentral:snoRNA from 1 species
AUCCCAUGGUGAGGGUAUUCUAAUAUGUAAUGUUGAAAGCAUUCCCAUGCCUUAGGAAUAGAUUCAUCGUACUACUGCUGAAAAGUUGAGAUCUUUGCACAUAGGGU